rnacentral:sRNA from 1 species
AACUCCAUGGUAUAAUAAUUCUUGUAAGCAAGUUGAUGAUGGUGGCUGCACUUCAAUUAGGAGGUGAAGCCUAUGCUUUUAAGCGCUUCUUACUUCCUAGAAAGGAAAGUAAGUGACAGAUUUUGAAUUUGCGAUGUUACUCUUAACAUCCAUUCAAACUCUUGUAAUGGUGUUAAGAGCAUAA